GGGCCUCGCCCUGCGCCCCCUCGGGCUACCCCUGCCCAUUGGCGUCCGGCAGCUGAUCAUAGUUGGUGCCCAUGCUGGAGGGCACAGUGGUGGCUGUGUGGGUUGUGCCCGUCUCGUGUGUCUUUUAGCGGGGGUUGGAGCAGAUGCGU